rnacentral:misc_RNA from 1 species
GUGAAUCAUCAAAUUUUUGAACGCAAAUUGCACUCUCUGGUAUUCCGGAGAGUAUGCCUGUUUGAGGGUCAGUUUAAAUAAAAAUCGGUGUGUUUGCUGCCUUUCGUGGUGACGCACCGUAUUUGGGUCUUCUUGCCUUCUGUUAUGUGUCCUGAAAUUUCGCAUGAUUUUUUUCGAAUGUAUUUAUAUGAUUUUACGUUCUUUUUCGAUAUCGAAUACU